rnacentral:rRNA from 1 species
GUGUCAGCAGCCGCGGUAAUACGGAGGGUGCAAGCGUUGUCCGGAUUUAUUGGGUUUAAAGGGUGCGUAGGCGGCUUGAUAAGUCCGUGGUGAAAGCCAACAGCUCAACUGUUGAACUGCCAUGGAUACUGUCGGGCUUGAGUACAGACGAGGUAGGCGGAAUGGAUGGUGUAGCGGUGAAAUGCAUAGAUACCAUCCAGAACACCGAUUGCGUAGGCAGCUUACUAGGCUGUAACUGACGCUGAGGCACGAAAGCGUGGGGAGCGAACAGGAUUAGAAACCCCAGUAGUCC